rnacentral:rRNA from 1 species
AGAGUUUGAUCAUGGCUCAGAUUGAACGCUGGCGGCGUGCUUAACACAUGCAAGUCGAUCGGUAACGCGGGGGCAACCCUGGCGACGAGAGGCGGACGGGUGAGGAACGCUUGGGAAUCUGCCCAUCAGCGGGGGACAACCCGGGGAAACCCGGGCUAAUACCGCAUACGCUCUAUGGAGGAAAGCCGGGGACCGCAAGGCCUGGCACUGAUGGAUGAGCCCAAGUCGGAUUAGCUAGUUGGCGGGGUAACGGCCCACCAAGGCGACGAUCCGUAGCUGGUCUGAGAGGACGAUCAGCCACACUGGGACUGAGACACGGCCCAGACUCCUACGGGAGGCAGCAGUGGGGAAUAUUGGACAAUGGGGGAAACCCUGAUCCAGCGACGCCGCGUGGGUGAAGAAGGCCUGCGGGGUUGUAAAAGCCCUUUCGGUAGGGACGAAAAGCUCUCGACCUAACACGUCGGGAGGAUGACUUUAACCUACAAAAGAAGCACCGGCUAACUCUGUGCCAGCAGCCGCGGUAAUACAGAGGGUGCGAGCGUUAAUCGGAAUUACUGGGCGUAAAGCGCACGUAGGCGGCUUGGCAUGUCGGGUGUGAAAUCCCCGGGCUCAACCUGGGAACUGCAUCCGAAACUGCCUUGCUAGAGUAUGGGAGAGGGAAGCGGAAUUUCUGGUGUAGCAGUGAAAUGCGUAGAUAUCAGAAGGAACACCAGUGGCGAAGGCGGCUUCCUGGACCAAUACUGACGCUCAGGUGCGAAAGCGUGGGGAGCAAACAGGAUUAGAUACCCUAGUAGUCC